rnacentral:rRNA from 1 species
UACGAAGGGGGCUAGCGUUGUUCGGAUUUACUGGGCGUAAAGCGCACGUAGGCGGAUUGUUAAGUCGGGGGUGAAAUCCUGGAGCUCAACUCCAGAAUUGCCUUCGAUACUGGCUUUCUAGAGGCUGGAAGAGGUUAGUGGAAUUCCCAGUGUAGAGGUGAAAUUCGUAGAUAUUCGCAAGAACACCAGUGGCGAAGGCGGCUCACUGGCCCGAUACUGACGCUGAGGCACGAAAGCGUGGGGAGCAAACAGG